CGGGGCGUAGCGCAGUUGGUAGCGCGCACGGUUCGGGACCGUGAGGUCGUGGGUUCGAAUCCCGCCGCCCCGA
rnacentral:tRNA from 1 species